rnacentral:sRNA from 1 species
UUUAUUCACUUAUUGAAAACCAUAUUCUUCUCCUGUCUUUGUGCUUCUCAAACUUUAAUCUGCAUGUGAAUUACCUUGGGAUCCUGUUAAAAUGCAGAUUAUGAUUUAGUAGACUGGGGAGGGUCCUCAGAUUCUGCAUUUCUAUCAAGUUUCCAGAUUAUGCUGAUACUGUAGGUCUAUGAAUCACUUACUUGGAGUAGCAAGGUUAUUAUAGAGCUUUAUGGCUGGAAAUUGUAAAUGCUACUAUUAAAUGCUUAGAUUAAAGUAGAAUUUGCACAAGGUGAAAUUGAGUCAAACUUUAUUUGAUUUGUUUUUUAGAAAUUAAAUUGUAAGGAAAUAAUUGAAAAUUUGGCAAAAAUUCUUAAGAGACAUCCAGGUUUAAGAAACAUUUUGCCUAUAACUACUGCCAAAGUGCCUAUAGUAAAAUUUGAACACAGACGAAGUGGGUUAGAAGGCGAUAUCAGUUUAUAUAAUACGUUGGCUCAACAUAACACAAGAAUGCUAGCUACUUAUGCAGCUAUUGAUCCUAGAGUGCAGUAUUUGGGAUAUACUAUGAAAGUGUUUGCUAAGCGAUGUGACAUUGGGGAUGCUUCCAGGGGAAGUUUAUCUUCAUAUGCAUAUAUCCUUAUGGUGCUGUACUUUCUGCAGCAGAGAAAGCCACCUGUUAUCCCAGUUCUACAAGAGAUCUUUGAUGGAAAACAGAUUCCACAGAGAAUGGUUGAUGGAUGGAAUGCUUUCUUCUUUGAUAAGACAGAAGAACUGAAAAAGCGUUUACCUUCACUUGGAAAGAACACAGAAUCAUUAGGGGAGCUUUGGCUGGGACUGCUUCGUUUCUAUACUGAAGAGUUUGAUUUCAAGGAAUAUGUAAUUAGCAUUCGGCAGAAAAAGCUGUUGACAACUUUUGAGAAGCAGUGGACUUCCAAGUGCAUUGCAAUUGAAG